AACCAGCACCUCAAGUGGUCAGGAUGAUUAUUGGGCCUAAAGCAUCCGUAGCCGGCUCUGUAAGUUUUCGGUUAAAUCUGUACGCUUAACGUACAGGCUGCCGGGAAUACUGCAGAACUAGGGAGUGGGAGAGGUAGACGGUACUCGGGAGGAAGUGGUAAAAUGCUUUGAUCUCUCGAUGACCGCCUGUGGCGAAGGCGGUCUACCAGAACACGUCCGACGGUGAGGGAUGAAAGCUGGGGGAGCAAACCGGAUUAGAUACCCGGGUAGUCCCAGCUGUAAACUAUGCAAACUCAGUGAUGCAUUGACUUGUGGUCAAUGCAGUGCUGCAGGGAAGCCGUUAAGUUUGCCGCCUGGGAAGUACGUACGCAAGUAUGAAACUUAAAGGAAUUGGCGGGGGAGCACCACAAGGGGUGAAGCCUGCGGUUCAAUUGGAGUCAACGCCAGAAAUCUUACCCGGAGAGACAGCAGAAUGAAGGUCAAGCUGAAGACUUUACCAGACAAGCUGAGAGGUGGUGCAUGGCCGUCGCCAGCUCGUGCCGUGAGAUGUCCUGUUAAGUCAGGUAACGAGCGAGAUCCCUGCCUCUAGUUGCCACCAUUACUCUCAGGAGUAGUGGGGCGAAUUAGCGGGACCGCCGCAGUUAAUGCGGAGGAAGGAAGGGGCCACGGCAGGUCAGUAUGCCCCGAAACUCUGGGGCCACACGCGGGCUGCAAUGGUAACGACAAUGGGUUUCAAAUCCGAAAGGAUGAGGUAAUCCUCAAACGUUACCACAGUUAUGACUGAGGGCUGCAACUCGCCCUCACGAAUAUGGAAUCCCUAGUAACUGCGUGUCAUUAUCGCGCGGUGAAUACGUCCCUGCUCCU
rnacentral:rRNA from 1 species